ensembl:lncRNA
GGCGGCAGCAGCUGGGGGGGAAGAGCUGGUCUACGGAGUGGCAGGAACACGAACACGGGCUGGGGCUGGAGGCCUGCUGCCGUGGUUGAUUGCUGAGGUUGGGGUGCAGACGUUAGGUUGUCCUGCGGCACUUUGCGUUUCCGCGUGCCAGCCAGAGAUGGAGUGACCUCGUACUGAACUUGAGGUCGGCUGGUGUGCGGCCUCUCAUCCGGGAGCUCUGCAGCGGGAGGUCUGCUGAGCUGACAGAGAAGGGUGGUGUAGAGGUCCUUUCUCUGCAGGUACUCCUCACAGUGACCCUCCUGGACCUGCCUCCACACCUUAACCAUGGUGUUGCCCUCAGUCCGAUCCCUCAUCAGGCGGACAACUUGCUUGUCCACACCGCGUCUGAAAUUACAGCACAAUCAUGAUCGCAGGGAACACAGCUUGGUGGGCUGGAGUCAGCUGCUUCAAAAUAGCAGCAUCCCACGCCAGGAAGCGACCAAUCGAAUGCUCCUGAGAGCCCUUUGCAGCCUUCCUGCACGCGUUGCAGGCCAGGAGCUCUGUGAGCAUGCUGUACCAGCCAGUCAUGUCACAGAUAUGCCUCACUGUGUUUCCAUACCCACAGCGGUACAGAAAGGCUGCUUUUCCCCCGGGGCAUCCUGACCUGGGACAGCGAAGGCUGUAGCCCCACACUCCCACAGGCCUCCAAAAGAAGACACGGCUUCUAAAAAAAGCGUCUGCAGAGGGCACUCCUCCCCCCACCACCACUCCAGGAAUUUCUGGUGGAUGGAACCACAUGCGAUCAUCCUUCAGAAUUUUCCUGCGAGCGAUGGUGAGGUUCUUAAAGAGCCCCCUGUCAGCGUCCUCCCUCAGCCACUUCACGUCAGCACUGGGGAGACCAUGAGGGCCGGACUCCCACUGUUUGUGCCAGCCCUCAAAUGACACCUGGUGGAAGAACAAAGACAAAACCGUCAUGUACCAGUCACUGAGUGCUCUGACUGUAACGCUGUUCCUGCUGCAUCAACAUAUUAA